rnacentral:lncRNA from 1 species
GGGAGGGCCGCACGGCUGGUGCCCGAGGCAGCCGCCUGUGCUGGACUCCGGCGGCGUCUCUCCGUCUUCCCCGAAGGCUGGCCCACCAGUGUGGUCACAGGGCUGGCUCUCGGGGGCCCCCCCACCCCCGGCAGCCGGGCCGGGCGCCCCAGGACUGCGGUGUGAGGAGAGCUGACAGGGGCUGUGGCUCCUGGACGCGUCCCCCGCACCCUGCAUGGCUCAGCCGUCGUGUGAACGGGCGCCCAGGGGUGGGCCGGCAGGAACCUAGGCCAGUGCCGGCGGGCUCCGCGGGGAUGCGGUGAGCGGGCCCCGCCUCCAGGGCCGAGAGAAGCUCCGCGUCUCCUGCCGCCGCUCCGCCUGCGCCGUCUCCCAGUCUGGGGAGAUGCUAUAAGAUGGUGAAUAGAAAGGGUCUGAGAUGAGAACAUCACCGACUGUCAGCUCCUCGGAAGACGAUUCACCCACUGACCAAGCAGCGCUGGGUUUUCACCCACAGCGGUUAAACCUGAGCCCAGUCCAUCAGCGGACGGAAAACCUCUCGCCUGGUGCCCGCUUCAUCCUGGAACAGCUAAGACGGUGUUAAUUCCACGGUAGCAGCAGUUUCCUUGACCACCCCGUGUAAGACUCACAGCCACAAACAGUAAGAACCACAUCCGCCUGGUGAUGUGAGACCCACCUGGGGCCUGUGAGUGAAGGUGG